CCAUGAAACUGAUGUUGCGAAUGCCCAUGAAGUCUGUUCCCUGAUAGAUGGCAUCGAUGGCCUUGACGUGACUGGAGAUCUGGAAUCGUGUCAGAGAACAUAAGAUCAAGAAUCACUGGUUGCGCAAAAACACUAUAAUACAACAUCAAAGCACCAUAGCCUGGGAACAGCAGGCCCUGCUACAGGGAGGAUGAUAACCAGCACUUGCCAAGCUCCCAGCCAGAUGGUCUUGACUUUGUCAUGGAGAGUGUGGGCACUUCCUAUCAAACAACACCUCUUCAAAAGGCUGGACGAGGAACCACGACAAGGCCUUUAUGCAUCUCUCCACUCAACCUCUUUACGUGGAGGGGACCCACCCAGGCCAGCUUGGCAACCCUUCCCCCAAGUGCAGUGCAUCCAUGAUUGAGGGAGGCCUGCAAGGAUUCCCAAGCGUGGGCCGCGGCCUACUGGUGGGACUUGGACAUACAGCUGAGGGGCAGCAGGAACCAGGAUGAGACGAGCUCCUCUGGCUCCGGAAGCCACCACAUGACACACUUCCACAUCCGCCCCAAGUUUUUGCAGCUCAUCCAACCAGAUCUGCUGUUUCUGGGAAAGCCGGUCAGUGGGCCCCUUCACCUCCACCAGCUAAAAACAAC